rnacentral:misc_RNA from 1 species
AAAAAAUCGAAAUUGGCCUUCCUCAGUUCUUCUUCUUCAAUUUCGAUUCCCUUCCCAAUGUGAUAAGGCCCACAAUUCUUUCAAUCUUGUUUCUUCUUCCUCCUCUUCAGGAGUUAUUCCACUCCCACUUCCGCUCCAAUCUCCGUUCAAUUUUUUUUUUCUUGUUUCUUCUUUUUCGAUUCCCCAAUCACAUGCAAAUAUCGAUUCUGCCAAAAGAGGACCAUCACAUGCAAAUGCCAAUAUUAAUCUGGACUUCGAUUCCCUCUCCAAGUAUCGAUCCAGCACCAUCACAUCAGUACCAAAUUUGAGGAAAUCGCAUCUGCUGCUCGUUCCUCGAUCCGCCAAUACUGCUUGUUGAUUAUAUUUAAUUUUGUUGAAGUAGCUUCUGUAUUGUAUUUUCUUUUUGGGCAGAUUGUUGAUUGAUUCUGAGUUUUUGAAUAGAUUGUUGAAAUUGCUACUGGGAUUGUUGGAAUGUUGAUUGAUUUGGUUUGGUUUGGUUUGGUUUGCUGCUGGGUUGUUAAAUGGAUUAAAACCGGAGAUGUGGAUAAUAGUGGUGAAAUUGGAAGGUUAAGAAAUAUCCAAGUAAAUCUGAGUACCUUGUAUCCAUUACCAUAGAGAAAAGAGAUUCGGGAUGAUCUUGUCUGCAUAAAUAGAAGAAAUGUAGUAAUGGCACUGCUAUGCUGUGUGAUCAUCAUCAAAAACAGCAUGGUGGCUGCAAGAUUUAAGGUUUGUUUCAACUAAUACGAACCUAUGAAGUAAUGUUCUACUGGUAUAGGUAGCAAGCAACUUGAGAAAAAUCAGUUUGAAAUAUUUUCUAGCUUUUGGAGUAGCUUGGAAAAGAAACGAAUUUUCUUUCAAUAAAGAAUAUUAAAAUGUCUGCAUUUUUAAGGAUGUCAUAUGUUUUCAUCUGUAGUUGAACAUAACUCAAAAAAAAAAAAAAUUAUCAUUUUAAAACAAAGUGUCUUGCAAAGUUCUAUCUCUAGACCUUCAAAAAGCAGGCAUUUCCAAGUCCCCUACAAAAGGAAGUCCAACUCUUCUUAAGUUUUAUAUAAUUUGUGGAAAUAUUCAAAAUUCAUGAUUCAACUUAGACGGAAAAAGAUCUCGCGUACUAUAACAGCCUUGAUUCGAGACAUUCUCCUAGCCGUCCAUUCCUCUGUUUGGUUGUCUAUUGCCAACUCCAUAACUACCAACAUAACCUGAAGUACUUUGAGGUGACAUGUCAGAAGGUCCAUUGCCUAGUCCAUAACCAAGAGAACCGGUUGCAUCCUGCUCAGAAUUUGAAGGACGCCAAGUGUGAUCAUCAUAUCCCAAACCACUACCAUAUAAAUCAGCUAAAGGGCCCCCAUCAUAACUACCCCUGGAUCCUGAUGGCAUAGCGGCUCCACGUUUUGUGACGUUUCUGCCAUAGCCUCCUGCCAUCCCAUAUAUGCUGUCACCAUUCACAUAUCCGAGAUUUCCAUUUUUGCUAGAAACAUUUCCCCCGCCUUGAGAGGAAAUUGAUGAACCCCAAACUCCACUGUUGCUAAAGCUUCCUCCUCCAAUGUUUCCACCACUUCCAGAUACUAAAAAGUUGCUAGAGCUUGUCGAGGUCGUCCCAUGGUGCAGUCCUCCAUCACCCCAUAAAUUGCGAUUUGCUGAGUUUAAGAAAGAAGUGUUUCCUCCCCCACUUCCUCCGUCAAACCCAAUGCCACCACCAAGUCUGCUUGAGCUAUAAUAUGGAUUCAGUCCCCGUCCAUAGCUUAAACUACUGUUAACAUUUGCACUACCACCAUAUCCUGGGCUCAGACCUGGUUCAAAGUUAAGACCCAUACCAUAACCAGAACCAAAUGGAGUAAAGACACUCCUACCCCCAGUGAUGGGGCUAAAUCUACCAUCCAUACCGACUCCAUAUCCUCCAACUGUAUUUGGAGAGUAUCCCUGUGCAUACCCAUCAAGGAAGUUAUUCAUCCUAUUUAAUCCAUAGCUGUACCGACCAAGUGGACUUUGGCUAGGACCUGGGGAUAACUCUUUGGGAACAGCGCGCUUGACCUCAACCAUUUUAUCAUUCAGCUCAUGGUAAGACUUGAGCAAGACUUUAUCCACUGCAUCCUCUGAA